AGAGGUUGAUUCUGGCUCAGGAUGAACGCUGGCGGCGUGCUUAACACAUGCAAGUCGAACGGGGAUUAUUUUGACAGAGACUUCGGUUGAAGUCGUUAUAAUCCUAGUGGCGGACGGGUGAGUAACGCGUGGGUAACCUGCCUCACACUGGGGGAUAACAGUUAGAAAUGACUGCUAAUACCGCAUAAGACCACAGCACCGCAUGGUGCGGGGGUAAAAACUCCGGUGGUAUGAGAUGGACCCGCGUCUGAUUAGCUAGUUGGUAAGGUAAGGGCUUACCAAGGCGACGAUCAGUAGCCGACCUGAGAGGGUGACCGGCCACAUUGGGACUGAGACACGGCCCAAACUCCUACGGGAGGCAGCAGUGGGGAAUAUUGCACAAUGGGGGGAAACCCUGAUGCAGCGACGCCGCGUGAGUGAUGAAGUAUUUCGGUAUGUAAAGCUCUAUCAGCAGGGAAGAAAAUGACGGUACCUGACUAAGAAGCACCGGCUAAAUACGUGCCAGCAGCCGCGGUAAUACGUAUGGUGCAAGCGUUAUCCGGAUUUACUGGGUGUAAAGGGAGCGUAGACGGAGAGGCAAGUCUGAUGUGAAAACCCGGGGCUCAACCCCGGGACUGCAUUGGAAACUGUUUUUCUAGAGUGUCGGAGAGGCAAGUGGAAUUCCUAGUGUAGCGGUGAAAUGCGUAGAUAUUAGGAGGAACACCAGUGGCGAAGGCGGCUUGCUGGACGAUGACUGACGUUGAGGCUCGAAAGCGUGGGGAGCAAACAGGAUUAGAUACCCUGGUAGUCCACGCCGUAAACGAU
rnacentral:rRNA from 1 species